rnacentral:lncRNA from 1 species
AAGAUUUUUUAAAAAAUUAUUUUUAACAGAUUAGUGAGGUAUAAUUGAUUUGCAAAGAACUAUAUGUAGUUAAUAUGUAUAAUUUGAUGAGUUUGGAAGAUUUUUUUUAAGGUGUCUCUGAGCCCUGAAAUUAUGAGUUUUUGAACAACUUUCUCUUCAGGGAAAUUUUCAUUUAUUGCCCUCUAGUUGUCACAUGAGCACGAAAGUUUUUAUUUUUUUAUUUUAUUUUAUUAUUUUUUUGGUCUUUUUGUCCUUUUUAGGGCUGUACCCACAGCAUAUGGAGGUUCCCUGGCUAGAGGUCUAAUCGGAGCUGUAGCCACUGGCCUACACCAGUGGCUACAGCAAUGCCAGAUCCGAGCCGCAUCUGUAACCACAGCUCAUGGCAACGCCAGAUCCUUAACCCACUGAGCGAGGCCAGGGAUAGAACCAGCAACCUCAUGGUUCCUAAUCGGAUUCGUUUCCUCUGCACCAUGCCAGGAACUCCCCAAAAGUUUUUAACUGGUCAUCAAAUUUGAAUAGAGAAGAGAGGAAAUAAGGUUUCUAAAUGUAAGAAAGUUUCAUAUUUUAAUGUGAUUAUGCCACCAGCCAUGCAAGGAAAAAUUUCUAGAAAAAAGCUUUGUAAGAACAAGUCUUGUAAACUGAAUAAAAGACUAUAAUAAGCUUUUAUUAGAAGCUUAGUGACUAGCAAUGAAGUGUUAAUAUUGCUGAAGCUUCGACUAUUUAGAAUAGAGUAAGUUAAAAGAAAGAGGACUGAUUUAGUUCUGAUAGGUUACCAUGUAGGAUGAUAUAAUUUUUAAAUUGAGAAUUAAGGACGGAAAGAUUAAAACCAAUGAACAUAUUUAAUUUAUCUAGUGAUAUUUGAUAAUUAUUCCAGUCAGCAGAUGUUCAUCUUUUUUUAACGGUGUUGUAAUUCUCUAGUUUUAGGAUGACCCAUGCUUCAAUCUGCUACACCAUCCGGACAAGUGAUCACCAAUCUCAUUCUCAGUCUUAGAGCUUUAAGGACCAUGUAUAUACUAUUAACUCUCAAAUGUUAUAUCUAGUACUGAACUCUCCCUUAUGCUCCAGACUUGUGUAUCCAAAUGUCUACUCUGUAUCUCCACUUAGAAGUUUACUGAGCAGUUCAAACGUACCAUAUCCAAAAUUGAAUUCUUUAUUCCCGCACUAAGCCUGCUUCUCCCUUAGUGUGCCUUCAUUCAAUAAGCGGCAUGACUAUUUACCUAGUUGCUUAGAUUAGAAUCCUUGGUGUCAUUUUUGAUAACCCUCUUUCUCACAUAUGCCAUAUCUAAUCCUUAAGAAAAUCACACCAGCCCUACCUUCAAAAUAUAUUUAGAAUAUGGCACUUCCCACCAUCAUAGUGCAAGCUGCCAUCAUCUCUUGGCUUGAAAAUUGUGGAAAUUUCUUGGCUAGAAAAUUGUUUCCUUUUCAUACCUGUCUAGUUUAUUGUCUACUCAACAGCUGGAGUUAUCUUUAAAACAUAACUAAUUUCAUGUAUUCCCUGAUCAAAACUUUCCAAUGGCUCCCUAUCUUACUCAAAACAAAAGCCGAAGUCUUAAAUGGCCUAUGAGGCACACACAAACUGCCCCCUCUAUGACUCUGACCUUUCCUCCUCCUACUUUCUUCUUUGCUUACUCUGCACAAGCAACAGAGGCUUCCUUGUCACAACCCACCAAAUGCAGUUCUUCUUCAGGGCUGUUGAACUUUCUAUUCCAUCUGCCUGAAACACUCUUUACUCAGUUAUCCUCAUCACUCACUCCAUCCUUUUAUUCAGAUCCUUCUUUAGAGAGGGCUUCCUGGUCAUCCUUUCUAAAAUAGCCUUGUUCCCUCACUCCAGCCAUCACUAUUUAGCAUCUUACCUUGCCUUGUUGUUUAUGGCAUUUAUCAUUACCUAACAUUUUUGCUUGUUUAUUUGUUUAUGGUCUAUCUCCACUACUGGAAUGUAAGUUCAGCAAAGGCAGGAAUUUGUUCAUUCAUUGCUGUAUCCCAAUUACCUAGAACUCAGUAUUUGUUGAAUAAAUGACUGAAAGAACGAAUCACUAAAUGGCAGUAACCUAGGGAGAAAUUAGGUCAUAGUCGAGGAAAGAAAUAAAACAUUUCUUCAAAGAUAUGCUGCCAAUCUAAAAUAUAGUUCACAAGAUCAUCUCAAUAUUAGUGUAAAAUAUCCAGCUGUUCUUUCAGGCGAUGCAGCCACUUUGAAGUCGAAUGAUAAUAUGCAGUAAACACAAUCCAUAAAAUCUCUGGUUUUCUUCUAAAUUAAAUGCAAUGAUUAAUAGAUGAGAUGGUUUGAAACUUGGUUUAGUAACUGUUUAAGCAUUUUAAAACCCAUAUGCCACUAAUAGAAUGGCAGUUUGAGAAAAUUAAUGUGUGUUGUUGAUCUUUAUUUUUCCUAAAAUUAUGCUAUACCCUGGCUGUUGGGAAUUUUCUGCUGGUUGUCCGGUCUCCAGCUGGGACUUAACUUCCUAAUUUUAUUAAGGCUCAAUCCAAGGACACACAUGUGUAUACUCUGGUUUCCUGUUAAUAGUUCAUUAACAAGUUUGUUAUGUGUUUGUUCCUGUCUCAGCAUUGUCAAGAGACAAAUCCAGAAACAUCAUGAUGUUACGGUAAAAUUCUAUAUGAUUGUUUCUCUGAACUCUUUUCAUUGAAGAAUUGUUUAUUUUAUAAUAACAUUUAAAUGUUAAAGGGGAUAAAUGGGAGAGUUGUUUGGAAACAUAUUCUUAGGAAAAAAAAAUAGGUAGAAAAGACUCAUUCGGAGAAUAGCCUAGUCUGUUUUAAUGAAUUUAUGACAAAAAAUGCUUCUAUCAUGUUUCAUCAAUUAUUUUCAAAGGAUUCAAAUAAAUUAAAGAAUAUUUAAUACUGAAUAGCAAGGUGAUAUAGUGGAAACUGAUCCUUAUAUAGGCUGUUACUAACUAACUAACCUACCUUAAUUUUAGAUCAUCUCUGCAUUCAGGGCCUUUGUUUACUUGGCUGUAAAAAGAGGGUGAACAUGAUACUUUCUUAUCUUUGAGAGUAGGAGUAUCAGUUCUCAUGAUAUGAUUAAUACAAAUUUUAUCUUAAUAGUUGAAUCUAGACAAUGGGUACAUGUAAUUUCAUUGUUCUACUUCUGCAUUUAUGUAUGAAUAUUCUUAACAGCAAUUUUAGAAAUAUAGGUGAUGAAUAAAGUGCUUGCUAGCAGAUAGUAUACCAUAUUCAAACUGAUCUUGUAAAGUCUUUUUUAUGACUAUGCUGUUUUCUUCUAGUGUCCUCUGAAACACUUAUAUAAAACAGCAGUCUCUCUUAUGAUCAUUCCAGGGCAGCUUUCUUCAAUUUUUAGGGAAUUAUGCCAAAGUUCAAACCAGAAUAAAAUCCCCAUUUACAGAUUUUCAAGGUAAAGCUAUUUGUUGAUCAGAAAACUGGCAAAAGUUUCUUACAAGUAUGUUAUAAUUUAUAUUGAUUUGGCAACUCACAGCAUGAACUUUAGAUUGGCUUAAUUAUUUGUACCUCGCUCUUAAAUCCAGGCUGAUUUUUCCCCUACACAUUGCCAGGUCCUUUCUGGAAGAUAAUCUGGCAGGCUACACUGUAGCUAAAAAUGUGCUUUUGAAGUUGAGCGAUUCUGUGUUCAAAUCCCUAUUUCGAUCAUUUCCUAAAUGUGAGACCUUGGGAAAAUUUUUUUUUAACUACUCUGAGACUCAGUUAUCUUUUCUAUAAAAUGGGAAUGUCAAGAGUAGUAUCUACAUCAUGGAUUUAUUGUGAGGACUAAAGAACAUGGGUAAUCACUAAACAUACCUGCCCAAUAGGCAGUUUAAACCAACAUCAUCAGCCUAUUCUGUCAUUAUUAUUUUUGUCACUUAGUUAUUUGCAUUAUUAGAAUAAAGUUAUAUCUGGAGAAUUUUUUUAAAAAGGGAGGAAAUAUGGCUGUUUUGAUUACCUUCACUAGAAUCAUUCAAUACACAUUUAUUGGACAUCUGCUAGACUUUAGGAACUGGAUUUAUAGAGGCAAGUAAGGCACACUUCCUGCUCUUAAGGAAAUCACAUAGUAAGGGGGAAAAUUGACAUGUGAAAGCUUAGAGUCAAGGCUGAAUUUAAAAGAGUGACAGACGAGGCAGUUGUUGGCAUACCACGAUUUUAAAGGGAGCUAAAACCAAAAUACAACCAAAAUCAGGAACCUCUGACCUAUAACUACCUCUGAAAUACCAUUAGCAUAUUUUUCUUUGGAGUUUAUGAAGUCUUUGAUAUUCGGACUAUAUGUGCAAAUGCCUUUGGGAAGAGUAACACAUUAAGAAAUAUCAACUGUACUUUUCAAAAAAUUAAAGUAUGGUUGAUUUACGAUAUGGUCUUAGGUUCGAGUCUACAGCAUAGUGAUUUGGGUUACUUUUGCAAAUUAUAUUCCAUUAUAGGUUAUUAUAAGAUAUCAUGUAUAAUUUCCUGUGCUGUAUAGCAAUUCCUUGUUGCUUAUCUAUUUUAUAUAUAGUAGUGUGUAUCUGUUAAUCCCACACUCCUAAUUUAUCCCUCCCUGCCAUCUCUUUCCCCUUUGGUAACCUUAAGUUUGUUUUCUGUCUGUGAGUCUGUUUCUGUUUUGUAUAUACAUUCAUCUGUAUUAUUUUUUAGAUUCUGCAUGUAAAUGAUUUCAUAUGGUAUUUGUGUUUGUCUGAAUUAUCUCACUAAGCAUAAUAUUCUUCAAGUCCAUCCAUGUUUCAGCAAAUGGCAAUAAAUUCAUUCUUUUUAUAGCUGUGAAUAUUCCAUUAUAUUUAUCUAUGCCACAUCUUAAGCCAAUCAUCUGUUGAUGAGCACUUGGGUUGCUUCCACUUCUUGGCUAUUGUAAAUAGUGCUGCUAUGAACUCAAUUGCACUUUAAUGAAGAUUUACUUUUAUGUUAUUCAGGGUACAAGAUAAGUUGCUAAUCAAGAGACCUCAAAAUGU